CCUGAACGCUGGCGGCGUGGCUAAGACAUGCAAGUCGUACGGACCCGCAAGGGUCAGUGGCGAACGGGUGAGUAAUGAAUCGCUAAUGUGCCCCCGGACUCAGGGAUAGCUAUCCGAAAGGGUAGGGUAAUACCUGAUGACAUAACCUUGUCGCAUGGCAGGGUUCUCAAAGGUCCGCCGGUCUGGGAGCAGGCGAUUUCGUAUCAGCUAGUUGGUGAGGUAACGGCUCACCAAGGCGACGACGCGUAGCCGGACUGAGAGGUUGGCCGGCCACAUUGGGACUGAGACACUGCCCAGACUCCUACGGGGGGCGUGCAGUAACGAAUCUUCCGCAAUGCACGAAAGUGUGACGGAGCGACGCCGCGUGUGGGACGGAA
rnacentral:rRNA from 1 species